UUUCCCCCAAUUUAUUUCCAGACGUUGCCAACAGAGAAGCAGUGGUUCAGUUGUCUCCUUAAUUGAAAACUCUGCUAGGAUCACGUGGUCUAUAGGACAGUACUGCCAAAGUGUAUCCCAUGGGACUCAAAUUCUUGUCAGGUCUCCAGCAAGAGCUGUGUGAUCUUGCCAUGACACUGCCACACUGGCUGUCCUAUCUGGGUUGCUGGGAGAUUCAUGAGUCAUCUGCACAUGGACAAAUGCCGCUGCUUCACACCAAGGCAGGUGAGCACAUCACUGUGGGGUCGCUAUGGUGAAAGUUGACAGCAAACUAAUCCCUGAAUUCAGAUCAUCGGCUCUUGUAGCUUGUUGUUUGAGCUUUGUAUUUAAAGCCACUGCAGCUUGUCUUUAGCUAUAGCUUUUUAAUACAUACAUACUUUCCUCCUAAUUGGCAGACACAAGCCUCCAAUUGUGCUGGCUUCUGCUGCUUUGGAGGGUAAUGGCUUCUCUCAGAUGCUCCUACCAUGCCCACCUUAAUGCAAAAGAACCCUCCAUAUUCAGUUAAAAAAUCCCCCCAAAAUCUAAAAAACCAAACUGGCUAUUUUUGUGUAUUGUAGCCAUAGGAAAACAGAUAGGAAUUUAAGUUUAUUUACAGAAGUGUCAUAUCUUCUCACUUGAGGGUUAGGUUCUAAAA
rnacentral:lncRNA from 1 species